ensembl:lncRNA
CUCACACAGACCCCAAAAGAAAAUGCUAGAAUGUUGUAAAAGGCCUUGCUGUAGAUGAGGGUUGAUGCUGCUGCCCUUUUGUAGGAGAUUCUGAACAAACAGAGCUGGCUUUUCAGAAGGCAGAGAAGGAAGGUAGAUGUCUCUACAGUGAUUGAGGCAGACUAUGGAUGGCACUUCCUCCCUACACCCUGUAGGGUCCUGGACCCAGAUGCAAUGGCCUUAAAUCCCAGCUCUCAUUAUUACCUGUGUAACCUUGGAGUAUGACCAAUAGUAAGAGCGAAUGCUUGCCAUGUGCCAGAGUUCUAAAUGGUUCAUAUAUAUAAAUUCAUCUUAUCUUCAGACAACUCUGCGAGCCAGGUUCUGUCGUCAUCAUCGUCAUCAUCUCUGUUUAGUCGAUGAGGAAGCUGAGGCACAGGGAGGCCAAGUAACUUGCCCAAGUGCACACAGUUGGGGCAUGGAGGGACAAGGAUUCAAACCCAGCAGACCUGAAUGUCUAAUCUAGGCCAUUAACCACUCUGCUGCCUCUCAGUGACAUGAUUUCAGCUAACCUAUUUUCUGCCUUCAUUCCGAACUUGGCCAGAAGUGGUCAGUAGAUCACGGUGACUCACCAGCAAAACCACAAAGGAGGUGAAGCCCAUCUCCCUUGCCUUCUAGCCACCCAAAGUCGGCCUCCAGGGGCCCCGACCUAUGAUUCUCCUUCCUCCCCGGCUCUGCAAGGAUGGCAGAGGCCUCCCCCUGCCAUCCAGACUCCCUAAGAUAUGUCAACGGGUUGUGGGUUUCCCACUCACUUAGGCCUCAUAUUCUGAAGUGAGAAAGCGCUAAUUUCCUGGUUUGGGGAAAAAGAGGAAAUACAACAUGCAUCACUUAAUGAACACACUCUGCAUGUCCACAUAUAUGUAAAUUAACUCAUUUGGUUUUCAAGUCAACUCAUUCUUGUUACUUGUCCUAUUUUACAAAUUAGGCCAAUGAGGCUUAGGGAGCUUGUGUGACCUGCCCACAGGUCCACAACCAGAAAAGGAACAGGAAACACUGCCCAAAUAUAUGGACCAUACUCUUUCUCUCCGUCUCUCCACCCUCUCUUCCCAUAUCUGGUUGUCUCAUCUCCCUGACUCUCUCAUCACCAGUCUAAUUUGUGUGUGUGUAUGUGUAGGGGGGAUCUUUAAUAAUAUUAUUAAUUCAAAUUAAGUAUUUUGGGUUUAAAUACCUUCUCUUCAAAUUUGAUUGUAAUUUUCCUGGAGUUUUUCAUGUCUCCAGUUCUAUGAAGUUGAAAGUUGAACCAUCCCUGACCUAAAUCAGUGUUUUAGAGUGGUUGAAAGAGAGGUAAUGCAUGUGCAAUGAUUUCAAAAGCAUCAAGUCAUCUACCAGUGCUGGGCUGCUGUUUUGUCUCGUCUUUGUUAAUGGCGUCUGGCACAGUUGCCAGGCUGUGCGGAGGAGCACUCCUGGGAAGCUCCAGAACAGCGCCAGCAUCAUCCAAACCUGAUAUGUUUUAUUCCACCUAAAACCACAAAGGCAACUGGGACUUGUUCUACCAACAUCAUAGUCCUAACACUGGUGGAAACUGACGUAAACGGAGGGGCUCACUACCAUCAACCCCAAACCUGAGGGGCUUUCAUUUCCACAAGCAGCCUCAGAGUCUUCUCCACAUAUAAUGAAUAUGCAUAUGGUAAUAACAUGGCUAAGUUUUUGAAAUCUUUUAUUCAUUUAUAUUCUAUCAUAUAUACAAUCACAUAAUAAUAAAAAAUGUUGAUAAUUUCUUUGAUUAAGAAAUGUUAUUUUAAAAGUAACACUUGGUUUUUGCCAAAAACUUGGAAAGUGCAAAAAGAAUAAGGAAGAAAAUUUAACUCAAUAUUAACUUUAGAACCCAGAUAUAUAACCCCUGCUAACUUUCUGUUCUAUUUCUUUCUGGACUUUGAUUUGCAUAUGUAUUUUAAAGUAUAAUUGGGCAUCAUAUAUAUAUAUAUACUGUUUUGUAU